UGCCUGCGGUACGCUGUGUUGAGCUGCCCUUGGGUUCUUCUUAGCUGAGCCAUGAGAACAGAAUCAGGGAGAUGGUGAGAGGGCACUGGCUUUCUCUUUCUCCCUUGGUUGAACCAGGGAUAGCAGAACCGUUGCCUUGGAGACUGAGGACACUUAGAUUUCACAUAUGCUGAGCAGACUUAAGGGUGUUACAAGUGAAAGGGGUGAUCAGAAAAUCUUGGCCUUCCAAGAUCCUGGAGCUUUGGAUCCACUUUGAAUUUAAGACAGAGUAACAGCACACAAGGCGGAGUCACUGCUGCACACUCCCUACCCCCACAAUCCCAGCCGCUGCUUCUCCGAGCCUUCCUCACUGUGAUGGAUGGAAAACAAGACACCAAGAAAACCCUUUUCCCCUUCAGCUUAUAUCUGCCAGGGAUGAUACUGACCUCCUGAGCGGAGAAUAUGUGGUUUUCCAUGAAUACUACCAGAGGAUAGAUAAAUGCUGGGACCCUGAAGCAACCCUUGAAGAAUAAAAACAACUUCAUACGGAGAGGAAGAAAGAAAAGCACCAGUGAGACAUGUCUGCUUCUGGCACCACCAGAGAGAUUGAUGGACAUUGAAAAAGCUCAUUAUGGAAUUUGCCUUCAAUGUAACAAGAAGAGCCAUUUAGGCUAAAAACUGCUCUUGCCUGGACUGCUUGAUGAUAUGCUGUGUGAACUGGACAUGCAGAACCCACAGAAAAGUGACUGCUAAACUUUCCAA